rnacentral:rRNA from 1 species
UCCCCAAGGCAACGAUCCCUAGUGGUUUGAGGGGAUGUUCACCCCCCCGGGAAUUGAGACCCGGUCCAGAUUCCUACGGGAGGCAGCAGUGGGAAUAUUGCACAAUGGGGGAAACCCUGAUGCAGCCAUGCCGCGUGUAUGAAGAAGGCCUUCGGGUUGUAAAGUACUUUCAGUAGGGAGGAAGGCAGUGUCGUUAAUAGCGGCAUUGUUUGACGUUACCUACAGAAGAAGCACCGGCUAACUCCGUGCCAGCAGCCGCGGUAAUACGGAGGGUGCGAGCGUUAAUCGGAAUUACUGGGCGUAAAGCGCAUGCAGGCGGUCUGUUAAGCAAGAUGUGAAAGCCCGGGGCUCAACCUCGGAACAGCAUUUUGAACUGGCAGACUAGAGUCUUGUAGAGGGGGGUAGAAUUUCAGGUGUAGCGGUGAAAUGCGUAGAGAUCUGAAGGAAUACCGGUGGCGAAGGCGGCCCCCUGGACAAAGACUGACGCUCAGAUGCGAAAGCGUGGGGAGCAAACAGGAUUAGAUACCCUGGUAGUCCACGCCGUAAACGAUGUCUACUUGGAGGUUGUGGCCUUGAGCCGUGGCUUUCGGAGCUAACGCGUUAAGUAGACCGCCUGGGGAGUACGGUCGCAAGAUUAAAACUCAAAUGAAUUGACGGGGGCCCGCACAAGCGGUGGAGCAUGUGGUUUAAUUCGAUGCAACGCGAAGAACCUUACCUACUCUUGACAUCCAGAGAACUUUCCAGAGAUGGAUUGGUGCCUUCGGGAACUCUGAGACAGGUGCUGCAUGGCUGUCGUCAGCUCGUGUUGUGAAAUGUUGGGUUAAGUCCCGCAACGAGCGCAACCCUUAUCCUUGUUUGCCAGCACUUCGGGUGGGAACUCCAGGGAGACUGCCGGUGAUAAACCGGAGG